AGAAAGUUCCAUGUCCUAUCUGUUUCUUGAACUUUACACCACAGUUUGUAGAGAUCCAUGCUAGCAUGUGUGGAGAAAGAAGAAAGGACAAUCUUAAAAUGGCUGAGACAACUGCCGUGAGCCAGGACAAUGGAGAGGAGCACAUCAAAAGUGUUGAUGAUGUAUUGGAUGGAGUUGAUGUAGAGAAACA